GACAACUCGCGGGGAUUGUUUUCCACACCGUGGAAGCUUUGUUCUUUUCGUUUUUUGCAAUAAAUCUUGUUGCUGCUCGCUUUUUGGGUCCACAUUGCUUUUAUGAGCUGUACCACUCACCGUGAAGAUCUGCAGCUUCACUUCAGAGCCUAGCGAGACCACAAGCUCACUGAGAGGAACAAACAACUCCAGACGCGCUGUCUUAAGAGCUAUAACACUCACCGCGAAGGUGUGCAGUUUCACUCCUGAGCUAGUGAGACUACGAAGCCACUGGAACGAAGAAACUCCAACCACGUUUGAACAUCAGAAGGGGCAGACUCCAGACGCUUCAUCUUAAGAGCUGUAACACUCACUGUGAAGGUCUGCAGCUUCACUCCUGAGCCAGCGAGACCACGAACCGAUCUGAACAUCAGAAGGGACAGACUCCAGAUGCCCCACCUUAAGAGCUGUAAUACUCACUGCAAGGGUCUGCAGCUUCAUUCUUGAAGUCAGACCAAGAACCCAGCAAUUCCCAACACACAGGGACCAGCUUCUUUCCUAACUCACUUAGGCUCUUCGUGCUGCUCUGGCAACUAACACCCUUGGCUGCAGGGGCUUGGACACUACCCUUAGUCACUGACAAUUGUGUGAAGGCUGCUGUCGUUAACUUCACUUGAUCACCUUAGGCUCCUGUGAAGUGGUGAGCAAUUCAAACAAAUUCCUGUCGUCAAAUCAUGACUGCUUCCCCAACAGCAGGCGAUGGAGUCCCUGAGAUGCCUGCUAAAAAUACAGACCCCUGUUCACAAGGGCCAAGAGGUGGGAGCAACCCAGGUGUGUACGGAUGGAUAAAUGGAUAAGCAAAAUGUGGUCUAGCCAUGCAACGGAAUGUCCUGCAGCCUUGAACAGGAAGGAAAUCUUGACGCGCGCCGCAGCAUGGGGGAGCCGCAAUGAGGACGUUAUGCUAAGCCAGUCACAAGUGCAUGAUUCCACUCAGAGGAAGGACCCAGAGUCGUCAAAUUCAGAGACACAGAGAUGGAGAAAUUGCACUGCAGAGAAAUCUUUAAAAGCAAUUACCUAAUACUGCAGAUUGCUGAACUGUACCCACACCCAAGACUGAGCAUUGGAUCAAUCCAGAAUAUACAUCAGGUGUUCUGCAAUGUCUGCCUAAAACCAUGACUCUGCCUCCUCCAGCUGUUGCUACAUCUCACUAUGGGUUUCCUGUGACAUUUUGAGCAAGUAUGCCUCUGUGACUGGGGUUCUUACACUCCAGAAUGGAUGAGAAGCACCGUAAGUGGCUUUUAAAAUGAAUAUUCCCUGGCCCUUCAGUCGCUCUAUAGGUCAAGAAUCUGAAUUCUCAACCUGUCUAGAAGGUUCUGGUUUUAAUGGUCUGUGGGCUGCACAUUGAGAAACCUGUUCAGCGAGUGCAACAAAGGUUCCACAUGUGAGAAAGGAAGCAUCAGGUCUCUUGAGCCUGUUCUUUAAUCUGUAGGCUGCACCUUCUCUUUAAAUUCUGCUAAUAACACCAUGCGAGAAAACACCCGAGCUUGAAAAGCCCAUGUUCCAACAUAACUGUCCUUCACCACUCUGGAAAAUUAAUGGUUUGUUUCGAUUAUCCCUUUGUUAAACUCCAAAGUCAAAGAGCUCUGAAAGGCAUACGGUUAUUUUAAGUUUCAGGUGAUUUCUGUUGCCAAAUAUUUUAAAAAUUUAAAAUUGCUACGUGACCUCUUAGUAGUACUAUUAGAUUUCCUGACAAUAAAAAUAAGUCUUUUGGUUUCACCAUUUAUAGUUAGUACAGCUAAUAUUAAGUAUAAUUUUAAAAGCCUUUUAUUUUCUCAGAAAGAAAAAAUAAUCAAAAUCUGCUCAGUGUGGUAUUGAAUAAUUAAAAACAAAAGAACAGUAUCUUCACAUUAGUGUUUAAUAUUAAUUGCUUUUUUACCCUUGACACUGGUGCUAAUUAAAUUUUCAUUUUAUUUUCCAUGACUUGUUUAAACAGUUUUUGCAAAUUAUUGCUAAUCAGCCUAAUAAAACUGAAUCACCUAUUAAACAAUUUUGUUUUGAAUUAA
ensembl:lncRNA novel transcript